GCCUCCAGGCCCCUUGGCCCACUGCUCAGGCUGGCGCAAGCGGAUCCCACCCUGGAGACGGCGAGCCCGUUCCACGUCCAGCUGAAGGUGUGAAUGACUAAAAGCAAGCCAACCCAAUGACUGGAGGAUGAUCUAAAGGGAGGGAGGGAGUUGUGUGUGCCUUUCAAGAGCAGAUUCCUCCCCCCGCCCUUGCUCCCCAGUUCUGGACUGUGGAGCCAUUGCCGAGAAGCAGGUGCCUGGCCCAGCCUCACCUGCACCCCUGGCUUCCCCGGCGUGUCACCGGGCGGCCAGGACAGGGCCCGCCCCCAGGCUCUGCCGCCGGCUGGGUGAUCGCAGGCCCGAACUGACUGCGAGGAGGGGGCUGCUCGUGGGGCCGGAGGAGGCCGUGCCCGGCUGGAGAAGGGCAGACAGACCCUCAGCAGAGGAGAGGGUAGAGGUGCCAGGACCCUCCGGCUUCUUUUUCUGGGGCGAGUUGUUCUGUUUGUUAAUUUUUUCUUUAUGUGACUGGUAUUCCCUGACGUCUGGCAGCCCUUGGUUGGCCAGUAGAGGCCAAGGUAGGUUCCUGUCAUGGCUGGAACGAGUUUCCCUUUGAUCCUCUGUCUCUGUCUCUGUCGCUGCCUCUCUCUCCCUCUCUCUGCCCUUCCAAGAUUAUUUGCACCUUCUCCUUUACGCCUGCGAACACUAGCUUUGCCUCAGGGCACCCACAGAGGGCGCUGCUCUCUUCUAAGAAGGAAGACUGAGAAGGAGGAGGCGCUGAGCUCUUAGGCCCCGUCUUCUCUUUCUGGGCACCUGAGGGACUCAGGCACACUGGCCCACGUUAGCCCUCCUGGGGAUGUUGGCACGGUUGUCACCAAUUUACGAAUCAGGGUGUCCUUCGCGCCGUAUCUUAUAGCUGUUUCAAAAGUUGAAACUGGGCUUUGCCGAGCGGUGACAAAUCGAAACUUAAACAGGGAAGUGCUCAAGGCUCAGAAAAACGCCAGGUGCCUUGUGGCCUGGUGACACUCCACGCUUGGAUU